GCGGUCCGGCGACCGAGCAGACAACAGGCGACAGGAAGGAGAACAUUGGCGAUCACAAGGAGGAUCUACGCCAAAAGCCACAUGAUCGCCGACGUCACAGACCGCGGCCGGCUGACAUGUGGACUGAACAUAACUCACAUAACUAGACGUUAUGUGCAGAACCAACAGCAUCUAUUUGUAUAGCUUUAGCCAUUAUGUAUCUAGUAGCUUGUUCAGUUUCUGCAUGAAUUGUAGUGUAGCUGUUUCGGAUGUCCUUAGUCAAACUGAGUGUCCUGUUGUUGAUAUUCUGCUUGAGUUGUGAGAACACUGAUCCAACUCCCCAGGCUAAAUGAUAGCAAACAUCCAAAGAAAGCUGAUAAAUUGCCUGUCUUUCACAGUAUUAUGAAGGGGAAAUGAUAAAACAUCACAACAGUUAAACAUCAGCAGGGGGUAAUUUCUCCAACAUUGUGUUGAAAAUCAAAUCUACCUCCAGAAGGUUUUACCAUGUCGUUGAUUCACAUUUUUAUGUGUCUUCCAGACCUGACAUCAAAACCAUCUUUUGAAAGUAAAGAACUGGUAAAAAUAGUUUUGUGUGUGUGUGAGUAAUGAGUAAGGAAAGAGUUUGGUAUUUUAGCGCGGGUGAUCACCUGUCUGCUCUGAGCCUUUCACACAAAAUUCAGUAACAAGCUAUCUGAAUGUGUUAAAGUGGUCAAUUUACCCCUCAGCUGUCAGGCCACUGAUGUGUUUUCUGCUGCUUUAAUCAUUAUUUACAGUGGUUCAAGUUUGGCUUGAUUCCACGGCCCCUGCAGAGCACCAUUCAUUGAAAGUGGACCAAUCUUCUUUCCUUUACCGAAGUGUGAAAGAAACAGAGCUGACAAGGUGUCACAAGCCUUCUUUUAUGUCCCCCUCGGGCCUCGUAGAAAAACUCAGUAUGAAAGAGAGAUGUUUUUAAGCCAGACUGGAUUUUAAGGGGCUUCUCUGUGAACCUGUCCGUCGGGACAUAGGCCAGACAGAACAAAGCCGCUCCCCACUGCACCAGCGAGGCCAAAACAGUUAUGAUUUUAUGGGAGUUUAUUGCAGCCUACAUUACAUUACAUGUCAUUUAGCAGACGUUUUUGUCCAAAGCGACUUGCAUUUCAAACAUAAGGAUACACACCCAGAGGAACAAGAAAGUUCAAUUACUUCAAGUAAGCCGAUUUACAACUCGCCAUAGCUAAAGUUUGUUUUGUGUUUUUUCGUCACGCCAGGACAGCAGAGUCGUGAUCUUGUCGAGUGUUUCGAUCCUGGUCUACACGAGUGCACCGUGCUACUUAAUGCAUGUUCCACCUUUGUGCCAACAGAGGGAUGCUGGUAGAGUCAGAAUCAGAAACAUUUAUCUGCCAAGUAUGUUGAACAGGAUAUUGUCAUGGAGGGUGGUGCAUGCAUGGAACAAAAGAGAAUCAUUCUCUAUUUUAAACUAUUUUAAAAUAAAAUAUAAGUAAAAAAGAUAAAGGUGAAGGUGUACAGGCAGAUAACAGAUAACAAUACUACUACACUACUACUACUACUACUUCAAAUAGAGUCAGUCAGUGGGGGACCUCGGUGCUGAUGGAACUCAACCGUUUGCCAGGUGGAAGGAGCACAAACAGCUUCCGGGGUGAAAAGGGUCGGUUACGAAUCUUUCCAGCUCGCUUCAGGGUCCUAGAAGCGAGCUGGAGGGACAGCAGAUUGGUGGGGCUUCCAGAUAUCCACAACCAUCUUCACUGUCUUGAAGUUGCUUUGCCUCCACAACGUCACCAGAUGGUCAGAUUCCCACCUGUCGGCAGACUCGUCCCCACCAGAGAUGAGUCCAACGAGGGUGGUGUCGUCCGUAAACUUCAAGAGCUUGACAGACUGGCGGCUGGAGGUGUAGAGGGAGAAGAGGGGAAAGAACGCAGCCUUCAGGGGAACCGGAGCUGAUGGGCCGAGAGGCUGAGACAUGUUUUCCCAGCUUCAAGUGCUGCUGCCUGUCAGAGAGGAAGUCUGUGAUCCACUUGCAGGUGGAGUCGGGUGAUGCAGCAUGCUGGAGGAAUCCUAGUAAUCCUAAACCACCAAAAAUAUAUCCAGAAUCCAGGUUAGAAAAAAUAUAUUAUUACUUAUUUGUGGCUUAUCAAAUAAUAACAAGGCUCUGGGUUCGAGCCCCUUUUACAGUUUCUUCAAUGCAAAUUCCGAACAUCAGCUGCAGUUAAUGUGGCGACGUGCUUUGGGUAUCAUAGGUGACGGGGAUCAUGGACCUGAAUGUUGAUGGGUUAAAUCAUCUGUGGAAAAUGUGAGCAAAUGUGUCACACAAUAUCUGUUCUUUUUUCUGUAAAGUCAACAAUACAAGCUUAUGUAAAUAACAAUACAAAUCCAUGGAGAGAAAGUAGCUGUAACGUCUGAGGUGCCUUUUGGUGUGGAACAUUACCAUCAUGCACUUAUUUUGUGAGCCAUUAACAGACAAUAUUCAGCAAAGGCAAAAGUUGUGUUUCAGAAUAGAGCAAUUUUUACAACCAAUGUGAUCUUUGCUGAGGAAAUUGUCUUUUACAGACAGAUUUUACCUUUGAAAGCUCACAAAAGUUGAUUACCUUCCAACUCUUACAAAGGAAGUAAACUUAUCAAGCUCUGGCGAUGAUGAUGCAUUUCUGUUACAAAUUUUGUGUCGGUUCUCUUUUUCCCUAAAUAAUUUGUAAAAAAUGUAUUCAAUUCCUUUGACUUCAAUAUUCCAGUUGGUAUGAAUAUAUUUAGAACAUACCUUCCUAAUCCGUGAGACACGGAACUCUGUAAAUGUGUAAACUUCAUUAAAGUAGAAGGUCACUAGGUGGUGCCACAUGGCUGUACAAACCGCUCCUAGUUUACAAUCUGAAGCGUCCUGCCUAAAGCAUGGGUCUCCGUUUCCAGCCUGAAGUGGUCUAUCCUGUGCUUUUUAUUUUAUUUAUCACUUUCAUGUAUUUCAAUCAGCGAAUUGAAUAAGGAUGCUUACGUUUGCCGGAUUUGUGUUGGUUGAACCCAAAGUCUUUAUUGCAUCGUUAGAAAGCAUAAAACCUGCAUGAUGCAUCAAAUUCAAAUUCAAAAAGCUUAGAAACAUUAAAAAGUCAAAUCCAAUCCAGCCAGCCCGGCUAACUAGCUACAAGUUGAAGAUGAGAAGUCUGUCUUUGACAAAUAACUAUAUUUUAGUUGUAAAUCUGCACAAUAACUGUGUCAAUGUGUCAAUCUAGACAGUAAAAGACCAUAGGUCAACAACUACACUACUACUACAACAAGGGGAUGGUCUUAACGAAUAGUUAAUUGAUACAUAUGCUGCCCUAAUAUUACAUUAAUAGGCUAUUGUAGCGUUUUACUGUUCUUUAACUGUUGAGAUGGAACUAUGCUAUUGUGUGGCCAGUUAGUGUGCAUUGUGGGAUGCGUGUUUUUUCAGGUUAUGCAUGUACGUCGAGCAGUCUUGGCCCAUUCAGACAGCAGACAGUUGGAAUAUAUUCAAAAUGCUGUUUGGUAAGAAUGUAUUCACAAAUGAGCAGUGGGGUCAAUAAAUCCUGUUAUCACCACUGAAACGUCAUGCAGACUUCCCUUCCCACGUUCAGGUUUGACCGUGACACACAGCUGUGGAUACAACUAUCGCACAGCAAACAAAGAGGAGGAGAGAGGAGGAGUGGGGAAACUCAGGGGAGGGAAUAAGAGUAACGGGACAGUAUUAAUAAAAAGAGAGGUUCCAAAUCCAAUGUGAACAACUAAAGAAAGAGUGCAAAGGGAAGGACGGUAGGAUUUAUCUGAAGCCUUAAAAUGUAGUCUGGCAAAGUACCUAUCUGAAGUCUCUUAUUGGUAGACAGCAAACAGUACAAAGAAUAAAACUUGUUAAACUGCUCAUUCGGUUUCAUUCCGCUGUCAUCCGGUCUGUUCUCUGCAACUCCCUCCCGGUGGGGUUUGGAUCGGCUACCAAGCAGGAUGGGAGAAGACUGUCAGGUCUGCAGAUUGAGUCGUUGGCUGCCCCCCCAUCCUGGAUUUGUUCAUCUGCAGAGGCCGAAAACAGGCGGAAACAUCGGUGUAGACCCGUUACACCCGGGACACAACCAGCCCUCUGGUGGGCGCUACAGAGCAAUGUACGCCAGCACACACAGGACCAGCUUCUUUCUACUGGCCCAUCACUCUGAUUAAAUUACCUCUAUUUCA